GAUGGUGUAAUGGGUCAGUGUGUCUGGCUGUUAACUAGAAGGUUGAUGGUUCAAGACCACCCAGGGCA